GAGGACGAUCAGCCACACUGGGACUGAGACACGGCCCAGACUCCUACGGGAGGCAGCAGUGGGGAAUAUUGGACAAUGGGCGCAAGCCUGAUCCAGCAAUACCGCGUGUGUGAAGAAGGCCCUAGGGUUGUAAAGCACUUUCAAUGGGGAGGAAAACCUGCCGGUCAAUACCCGGUAGCUUGACAUUACCUAUAGAAGAAGCACCGGCUAACUCCGUGCCAGCAGCCGCGGUAAUACGGAGGGUGCGAGCGUUAAUCGGAAUUACUGGGCGUAAAGCGUGCGUAGGCGGCUCGUUAAGUCAGAUGUGAAAGCCCUGGGCUCAACCUGGGAACUGCAUUUGAAACUGGCGAGCUAGAGUUGAGUAGAGGGGAGUGGAAUUUCAGGUGUAGCGGUGAAAUGCGUAGAUAUCUGAAGGAACACCAGUGGCGAAGGCGACUCCCUGGACUCAAACUGACGCUGAGGUACGAAAGCGUGGGUAGCAAACAGGAUUAGAUACCCUGGUAGUCCACGCUGUAAACGAUGUCAACUAGCCGUUGGUCCUAUUUACAGGAUUAGUGGCGCAGCUAACGCAUUAAGUUGACCGCCUGGGGAGUACGGCCGCAAGGUUAAAACUUAAAGGAAUUGACGG
rnacentral:rRNA from 1 species